CCCUUAGAUGUUCUGGGCCGCACGCGUGUUACACUGAUGCAUUCAACGAGCUUAUAACCUUGGCCGAGAGGCCUGGGCAAUCUUGUUAACGUGCAUCGUGAUAGGGAUAGAUUAUUGAAAUUAUUAAUCUUGAACGAGGAAUUCCUAGUAAACGCAGAUCAUCAAUCUGCAUUGAUUACGUCCCUGCCCUUUGUACACACCGCCCGUCGCACCUACCGAUUGGAUGGUCCGGUGAAGCCUCGGGAUUGUGGUUCUUGCCGCUUUAUUGUGGCGUGACCGCGAGAACUUGUCUAAACCUUAUCAUCUAGAGGAAGGUGAAGUCGUAACA
rnacentral:rRNA from 1 species